AGUGAGGAAUAUUGCACAAUGGGGGAAACCCUGAUGCAGCAACGCCGCGUGGAGGAUGACGCAUUUCGGUGUGUAAACUCCUUUUAUAUGUCAAGAAAAUGACGGUAGCAUAUGAAUAAGCACCGGCUAACUCCGUGCCAGCAGCCGCGGUAAUACGGAGGGUGCAAGCGUUAUUCGGAAUCACUGGGCGUAAAGGACGCGUAGGCGGGUUGGAAAGUCAGAUGUGAAAUCCUACAGCUUAACUGUAGAACUGCAUUUGAAACUUCCAAUCUAGAGUAUGGGAGGGGGAGAUGGAAUUAGUGGUGUAGGGGUAAAAUCCGUAGAUAUCACUAGGAAUACCGAAAGCGAAGGCGAUCUCCUGGAACAUAACUGACGCUAAGGCGUGAAAGCGUGGGGAGCAAACAGGAUUAGAUACCCUGGUAGUCCACGCCCUAAACGAUGUUCACUAGUCGUCGGGAUGCUAGUCAUCUCGGUGAUGCACUUAACAGAUUAAGUGAACCGCCUGGGGAGUACGGUCGCAAGAUUAAAACUCAAAGGAAUAGACGGGGACCCGCACAAGUGGUGGAGCAUGUGGUUUAAUUCGAAGAUACGCGAAGAACCUUACCUAGCCUUGACAUUGAGAGAACCUGCCAGAGAUGGCGGGGUGCCCUUCGGGGAGCUCGAAAACAGGUGCUGCACGGCUGUCGUCAGCUCGUGUCGUGAGAUGUUGGGUUAAGUCCCGCAACGAGCGCAACCCUCGUCCUUAGUUGCUAGCAGUUCGGCUGAGCACUCUAAGGAGACUGCCUUCGUAAGGAGGAGGAAGGUGAGGACGACGUCAAGUCAUCAUGGCCCUUAUGGCUAGGGCUACACACGUGCUACAAUGGGGCGUACAGAGUGUUGCGAUACCGCGAGGUGGAGCUAAUCACUUAAAGCGUCUCUCAGUUCGGAUUGGAGUCUGCAACUCGACUCCAUGAAGCUGGAAUCACUAGUAAUCGUAGAUCAGCAAUGCUACGGUGAAUACGU
rnacentral:rRNA from 1 species